rnacentral:rRNA from 1 species
GACGAACGCUGGCGGCGUGCUUUACACAUGCAAGUCGAACGGUGAAGAGGAGCUUGCUCCUUGGAUCAGUGGCGAACGGGUGAGUAACACGUGGGCAAUUUGCCCCUGACUUUGGGAUAACUACUUGAAAGAGUGGCUAAUACCGGAUAUUCACGCUGGACGGCAUUGUUUGGCGUGGAAAGCUCCGGCGGUCAGGGAUGAGCCCGCGGCCUAUCAGCUUGUUGGUGGGGUAGUGGCCCACCAAGGCGACGACGGGUAGCCGGCCUGAGAGGGCGACCGGCCACACUGGGACUGAGGCACGGCCCAGACUCCUACGGGAGGCAGCAGUGGGGAAUAUUGGUCAAUGGGCGCAAGCCUGAACCAGCAACGCCGCGUGAGGGAUGAAGGCCUUCGGGUUGUAAACCUCUUUCAGCAGGGACGAAGCGAAAGUGACGGUACCUGCAGAAGAAGCACCGGCUAACUACGUG